CCUACGGGGGGCUGCAGUGGGGAAUAGUGGACAAUGGGGGCAACCCUGAUCCAGCCAUGCCGCGUGUGUGAAGAAGGCCCUCGGGUUGUAAAGCACUUUCAGUGAGGAAGAACGCCUGGUGGUUAAUACCCAUCAGGAAAGACAUCACUCACAGAAGAAGCACCGGCUAACUCCGUGCCAGCAGCCGCGGUAAUACGGAGGGUGCGAGCGUUAAUCGGAAUUACUGGGCGUAAAGCGCGCGUAGGUGGCUUGAUAAGCCGGUUGUGAAAGCCCCGGGCUCAACCUGGGAACGGCAUCCGGAACUGUCAAGCUAGAGUGCAGGAGAGGAAGGUAGAAUUCCCGGUGUAGCGGUGAAAUGCGUAGAGAUCGGGAGGAAUACCAGUGGCGAAGGCGGCCUUCUGGACUGACACUGACACUGAGGUGCGAAAGCGUGGGUAGCAAACAGGAUUAGAUACCCUGGUAGUC
rnacentral:rRNA from 1 species